AUUCAUAGAUGACAUUUUGGUAUAUUCCUACAUUGAGAAAGAGCAUGUUUGGCACCUAAGGAUGGUACUGCAACCCUUAAGGGAGCAUCAGCUGUAUAAAAAAAUUUUCAAAAUGUGAGUUUUGGCUGGAGAGUAUGUCAUUCUUGGGAUAUUUGGUCUAUAGUGAAGGUAUUCAGAUGGAUCCCAAGAAAAUUGAAGUAGUAACUGAUUGGCUUACGCCUACAACAGUCAUUGAAGUGUAGAGUUUUCUAGGCCUAGCAGGCUACUACAAGGGCUUUGUGCAGAAUUUCUCUAAAAUAGUAGCUCCUCUAACCAGGUUGAAUUAAAAGAUUGUCAUAUUCUUCUAGUCAGACGAGUGUGAGGAAAGCUUCCAAAAGCUUAAGGAAUGCUUAACUACAGUCCCUAUGUUGACAUUGCUUGUAAGUGGAGAAGGAUAUAUAGUGUACUAUGAUGCUUCUACAGUUGGGUUGGGGUGUGUCUUAAUGCAGCACGGUAAAAUGGUGGUUUAUGCUUCAAGGUAGUUAAAGAGGUAUGAACAGAAUUACCCUACUCAUGAUCUAGAGAUGGUGGCUAUAUUCUUUAUAUUAAAUAUCUAGAGGCACUAUCUGUAUAGUGAGGUGUGCGAGAUAUACACCGAUCAUAAAAGUUUAAAGUACAUCUCUCAGCAGAGAGAUUUAAACCUAAGAUAGAGGAGAUAGAUGAAACUUCUAAAAGAUUAUGACUGCACCAUUCAAUACUACUCAGGUAAGGCGAAUGUGGUGGCAGAUGCCUUGAGCAGAAAA
rnacentral:misc_RNA from 1 species